GCAAGUCGAACGGUAGAGGGGGCAACCCCUUGAGAGUGGCGAACGGGUGAGUAAUAUAUCGGAACGUGCCCAGUCGUGGGGGAUAACGUAGUGAAAAUUACGCUAAUACCGCAUACGAUCUAAGGAUGAAAGCGGGGGAUCGCAAGACCUCGCGCGACUGGAGCGGCCGAUAUCAGAUUAGGUAGUUGGUAGGGUAAAGGCCUACCAAGCCAACGAUCUGUAGCUGGUCUGAGAGGGCGACCAGCCACACUGGAACUGAGACACGGUCCAGACUCCUACGGGAGGCAGCAGUGGGGAAUUUUGGACAAUGGGCGAAAGCCUGAUCCAGCCAUUCCGCGUGCAGGAUGAAGGCCCUCGGGUUGUAAACUGCUUUUGUACAGAACGAAAAAGUUUCUAUUAAUACUAGGAGCUCAUGACGGUACUGUAAGAAUAAGCACCGGCUAACUACGUGCCAGCAGCCGCGGUAAUACGUAGGGUGCAAGCGUUAAUCGGAAUUACUGGGCGUAAAGCGUGCGCAGGCGGUUAUAUAAGUCAGAUGUGAAAUCCCCGGGCUCAACCUGGGAACUGCAUUUGAGACUGUAUAGCUAGAGUACGGUAGAGGGGGAUGGAAUUCCGCGUGUAGCAGUGAAAUGCGUAGAUAUGCGGAGGAACACCGAUGGCGAAGGCAAUCCCCUGGACCUGUACUGACGCUCAUGCACGAAAGCGUGGGGAGCAAACAGGAUUAGAUACACUGGUAGUCCACGCCCUAAACGAUGUCAACUGGUUGUUGGGUCUUAACUGACUCAGUAACGAAGCUAACGCGUGAAGUUGACCGCCUGGGGAGUACGGCCGCAAGGUUGAAACCCAAAGGAAUUGACGGGGACCCGCACAAGCGGUGGAUGAUGUGGUUUAAUUCGAUGCAACGCGAAAACCUUACCCACCUUUGACAUGUACGGAAGGAUCCAGAGAUGGAUUUGUGCU
rnacentral:rRNA from 1 species